UACUUACGCUUUGGCCGUGGGGGGUUGAUAGAGACGGGGAGAGCUUUACAUAGCUCAUAAUGUGUCAAAAGAGAAGAAAGAAAUAAAGCACUCAUUCUCAAAUCUUCGGAUUAAGUGCAUACCCGUCGAUUGGCAUUAGAAUUGUUCAAAGAUAUUGCUCUCUUAGGAAGAAGAGAUCCAGAACAUGUGAGUGGAAAUCGGAGUGGAGAACCAGCUCUUUUAUCUGAUAUUAGAGAAAAUAAUCAUCAGUGGUUUGAUUGUACUGCUGUAACAACAUUUCUUUAUGCAAGAACAAAUUCAAUUUUAG
rnacentral:misc_RNA from 1 species